CUUACUUAUAUAUGUAGGCAUUUCUUACCUUGACGCAUUUUUACUGCAUCUUUAACCGCCUGUGCAAUCAACCUUUCUUUUCCCUUCUUUCUUUUUCUUUAAGACUUCUUUCCCAUAUGGCUACCUCUGCUGCUUCUGCUUCCACCACUAUACUUGAGCUUUCCUCGGCUCUAGCUUCUGCUCAAUCUGGUUCCCACGUGCCUUUGCUCCUAGAGAACGCACCAGUUACUACCAUGGACGAUGGUACUCAACCUUUUGUCCCUAUUCCAGGCAUGGAAGAACCUAGCUUGAAGAUCUUCAAUUCUCAGGUGCCAAAAUAUUACUUUGUACUUGCUCAAGCUCUUCAUCUCAAGAAAAAGCUGCUAUAGCCAAAAAGCUUCCUCAACAUCCAGAUGAUGCUCAACAUUGGGAAAGCAAAGACGAAGAAGCUAGUCAAUCCUUAAAGUCUCGAAAAAGAAAAACUGCCUCUGAAAGACUUUUGAUUCGCUCCAAGGUAUCAUCACUGUCCUCUGUUGGUUAUAGUCUCUUCUACGUAUUCUUAAAUUUCAUUGUCAUAGGGUGUCGAAACUUCCUCGAAGAAACCUCGUGUUGACUUAGUAAGUGUUAAAUCUGAGUCACUUUGGUCUCUCAAAUCACUAUCCAUUUUUGACCUUCGACCCGUAUUUUACUUUCCUCAUUUUCUUUAGGUUUCUACUACUAGACGAGUUUCGAAAGAUAAAGGAAAACAAAAAAAUUCCUCCACUGAAACUGCAUCGAACCCCAUUGCCCCAACUGACAAACUUAUGAAAGAUGCUAUGAAAAUUGUAGUUCAAGUUGAACAUGUAAGUUUAAUUAUUGUUACUUUUUUUUUUUGAACUCCCUUGGGUUUUUUUCUACAAGAGUCUUCUCAAGGCAACACCCCUUCUUUCAAUUUUGAAGUUGGUACUGCUUCUGGUCAAGAUGAGGAAACUGUAGUGCCUAUUCCAACUCUUCAAGUUCCCUCGGUGACCUCGGAUGGUGAUGCUAAAUCUUUCAAACCUCUAACAAUUCCAAUUCCUUCCGAUGAUUUAGAUCUUAUCAGAUUUUUUAAUGAGGAAACCACUCAAGAUGAUAUCUUUAAUGUACUUGAGAACUGGACUAGCGGGACUUCUGUGUCUGAUAAAUCUUGAGAUACAACCUCUCACUAUCAACCUUUAUUAGCCUCGUUCCGCUCAAAAUCCUAUGUGGAAAACUUAGAUCAAUCUCUUUUAAAUCCUCACUUUAAAGUAGAAGUGGAGCAAAUGGUUGAAGACCUAAAUGCCUUCCCUGACCUUCCUCCUGAAGUGACCGCGGAACUGAAAAAAUUCUUCCAAGCCUUUACAAAAGCAUUAGAAUUGCGAACCAAAUGGUCAGCUUCUUACAAAGAAGUAGCCCAAAUAGAAGUAAGCACUGAAAGAGAUCGUAGCAAGCUCAAACAACUAAAAUCUGAACUACUUUCGAUUUGGGAGUCCACUUCCAGUCUUAUCCUGGAACUGAUGAGAUUGAAGAAAGAAGAAGCUGAUAUGGAGAAACCUAUUGAAACUUUGCAGAAGGUAUUGGAAUUGACUAAAUCUAAGCAUGCCGCUCUUAAAAGUCAAAGCCAGGAUAUCAUCUGGAAACAAAAAGAGUUAAAGGAUGAAGGAAAAACCCUCUCUACUCACCUCUCCAAGACUUUAGAACAAAAACGGAGGCUUGAAACUUUGUGUGCCUCAAGAAGGCAAAGUUUAGAACAAGCCUAUCAAGCUUUCGAGUCCUUUAAGCUAAAAUUUUGUAAAUCCGAUUAGUAUUCAGAGUAACUUUGCUUUAAUACAAUUUACAUUGAUGGAAUUUCUUUAAAUAUUUGCCA